GAUCACUUAAAAUGACUUAAUAGUUUCUUUUAUAGAAUUUUGGUAACUUGCUCCCUUUUCAAGAUAUUCAACUUUGUUUCGUAUGCAAAUAUCACCGGUGUGACAUCACAUUGCAUAAUGAGUUUUCAGAAAAGUAUAGUUUUCUUGACGAAUACGUAUCUAAAAAACUUAAAAAUUGCCCUUGUAUAUGUAUUAAUUUCAUAACUGGUAAUGGACAACUUGCAUGUUAGACAAAAUUUUAAUCUAAGCAGAGAAAAGGGAAUCAGACACCACAGCUAAAAUGAACAUAUUGAAAUUAGUAAAA